rnacentral:misc_RNA from 1 species
GGUUAGAGCGCGCGCUUGAUAAGCGUGAGGUCGGAAGUUCAAGUCUUCCCAGGCCCACCACUUUCAUCAAGUGAGCAUUCGUCUUCUGGUUACGGGGCCAUAGCUCAGCUGGGAGAGCGCGUGCUUUGCAAGCAUGAGGUCGUCGGUUCGAUCCCGUCUGGCUCCACCAGAUGGUUUGAUUGCCGACGGAGCUUGCGCCUAGGUCUUGCACCAUAAUCGUCCGCGAAACAUCACUUCGCAGCCACUAGUCCGGAUGGACAGUGAGGUUGCGUGAUUUCUGACAUCGUAAAGAGGAGAUCGAUCCGAGUUGGGUCGUGCAGCAAAUUGUUGCGCGAGCCUUCAUUAUCUCCGGAUCAUUUCGGCGCUUGCUUUCGACCGUGAGGUUGGCUGCGAGUUGUAAAUGAUCCUUUUAGCGAAGCUUGACCGCCUCGCUAUCGGAACGAUCUUACGAAGCAAGCUGGUCUUUCUAGUCAAUGUCCGGCUGCAGAUAGCGUUCAUCGAGGGCGCGUGCCGCAAGGUAAUUCUGCAGACAACAUUCUGCCGAGUGUGUGGACAUUGAUAAUGAGAGCAAUCAAGUGCCUUAAGGGUGUUCGGUGGAUGCCUUGGCGCUGAGAGGCGAUGAAGGACGUGCUACGCUGCGAUAAGCCGUGGGGA